CGGGAGGCAGCAGUAGGGAAUCUUCCGCAAUGGACGAAAGUCUGACGGAGCAACGCCGCGUGAACGAUGAAGGCUUUCGGGUCGUAAAGUUCUGUUGUCAGGGAAGAACAAGUACCGGAGUAACUGCCGGUACCUUGACGGUACCUGACCAGAAAGCCACGGCUAACUACGUGCCAGCAGCCGCGGUAAUACGUAGGUGGCAAGCGUUGUCCGGAAUUAUUGGGCGUAAAGCGCGCGCAGGCGGUUCCUUAAGUCUGAUGUGAAAGCCCCCGGCUCAACCGGGGAGGGUCAUUGGAAACUGGGGAACUUGAGUGCAGAAGAGGAGAGCGGAAUUCCACGUGUAGCGGUGAAAUGCGUAGAGAUGUGGAGGAACACCAGUGGCGAAGGCGGCUCUCUGGUCUGUAACUGACGCUGAGGCGCGAAAGCGUGGGGAGCGAACAGGAUUAGAUACCCUGGUAGUCCACGCCGUAAACGAUGAGUGCU
rnacentral:rRNA from 1 species